UACAGAGGUCCCAAGCGUUGUUCGGAUUCACUGGGCAUAAAGGGUGCGUAGGUGGUGAGGUAAGUCGGAUGUGAAAGCUCGGAGCUCAACUCCGAAAUGGCAUUGGAAACUACCUUGCUCGAGGGUUGGAGGGGGGACUGGAAUGCUUGGUGUAGCAGUGAAAUGCGUAGAUAUCAAGCGGAACACCAGUGGCGAAGGCGAGUCCCUGGACAACUCCUGACACUGAGGCACGAAAGCUAGGGGAGCAAACAGG
rnacentral:rRNA from 1 species